rnacentral:rRNA from 1 species
GAUGAACGCUGGCGGCGUGCCUAAUACAUGCAAGUCGAGCGGACAGACGAGGAGGUUGCUCCCGUAACGGUAGCGGCGAACGGAUGAGUAACACCUGGAUCACCUACUUAUAAGACUGGGGUAACUGCGGUAACCCGGAUCUACUACCCGAGAAUAUAUGGAACCGCAUAGUUCAAUGGUGAAAGAGGGUUUUUCGUGCACUUAUAGAUGGAUCCGCGGCGGAGUGGCUAGUUGGUAAGGUAACGGCGUACCAAGGCAACGAUGCGUAGCCGACCUGAGAGGGUGAUCGGCCACACUGGAACUGAGACACGGUCCAGACUCCUACGGGAGGCAGCAGUGGGGAAUCUUGGACAAUGGGCGAAAGCCUGACGGAGUAACGCCGCGUGAGUGAUGAAGGUCUUCGGAUCGUAAAACUCUGUUAUUAGGGAAGAACAAAUGUAUAAGUAACUACGACCGUCUUGACGGUACCUAAUGAGAAAGCACCGGCUAACUCCGUG